rnacentral:rRNA from 1 species
ACCAGACUCCUACGGGAGGCAGCAGUGAGGAAUAUUGGUCAAUGGCCGGAAGGCUGAACCAGCCAUGCCGCGUGAAGGUCAGUGCCCUAUGGGCGUUAAACUUCUUUUGUGCGGGAGCAAUAAUGGUCACGUGUGGCCAGACGAGAGUACCGUACGAAUAAGCAUCGGCUAACUCCGUGCCAGCAGCCGCGGUAAUACGGGGGAUGCAAGCGUUAUCCGGAUUUACUGGGUGUAAAGGGAGCGUAGACGGCAUGGCAAGUCAGAUGUGAAAGCCCGGGGCUCAACCCCGGGACUGCAUUUGAAACUGUAUUUCUUGAGUGCUGGAGAGGCAAUCGGAAUUCCGUGUGUAGCGGUGAAAUGCGUAGAUAUACGGAGGAACACCAGUGGCGAAGGCGGAUUGCUGGACAGUAACUGACGCUGAGGCGCGAAAGCGUGGGGAGCAAACAGGAUUAGAUACCCGAGUA